ensembl:misc_RNA Y_RNA Y RNA
AAGGUAGUGAGUUAUCUCAAUUGAUUGUUCACAGUCAGUUACAGAUCAAACUCCUUGUUCUAUGCUUUCCCCUCUUCCCAUUACUGCACU